rnacentral:SRP_RNA from 1 species
GCCGGGCGUGGUGGUGAGCGCCUGUAGUCCUAGCUACUCGGGAGGCUGAGGCAGGAGGAUCACUUGAGUCCAGGAGUUCUGGGCUGCAGUGCGCUAUGCCGAUCGGGUGUCCGCACUAAGUUCGGCAUCAAUGUGGUGACCUCCCGGGAGCGGGGGACCACCAGGUUGCCUAAGGAAGGGUGAACCGGCCCAGGUCGGAAACGGAGCAGGUCAAAAACAAAAUGCAAGCAAAAGGACUGGGGACAUAGCUGAAGACGCAGAACAUUCACCUAGUAUGGAUGGAGCCCUGGGUUCAAUCUCC